rnacentral:rRNA from 1 species
UACGUAGGGUGCAAGCGUUAUCCGGAAUUAUUGGGCGUAAAGAGCUCGUAGGCGGUGUGUCACGUCGAUCGUGAAAACUUACAGCUUAACUGUGAGCGUGCGGUCGAUACGGGCAGACUAGAGUUCGGUAGGGGAGUCUGGAAUUCCUGGUGUAGCGGUGAAAUGCGCAGAUAUCAGGAAGAACACCCGUGGCGAAGGCGGCUCUCUGGGACGGUACUGACGCUGAGACGCGAAAGCGUGGGGAGCGAACAGG